rnacentral:rRNA from 1 species
GUAGGUGAACCUGCGGAAGGAUCAUUCACGCCAAAAAAAAACACUUAUGUCUCUUUGAGACAACCAAGUUAUCAACAAAAAAAAAUUAAAAAUUUUCAACGGUGGAUAUCUUGGCUCCCAUAACGAUGAAGAACGCAGCGAAAUGCGAUACGCAAUGCGAAUUGCAGAAAUCCGCGAGACAUUAGAUUUUCGAACGCACUCUGUACCAAGGGAUAGCUUCCUUUGGUAUACUUGUUUCAGUGUACUUGAUUUUAAAAGAUCUGAAUGCGGUUGUUCUGAGAAGAACUCCCGCUAAGUCUGAGCAUGUGUGCCCUGUUAGCCACACACACACCGAAGUAGUCAUCUGUGCCUCGGCACAAGUGAUCUCGGGGUGCACGAGGCAGCAUGGGUAGGAAAGACCACAUUGGACGAACAGUGAACUAAAACUCAAUACCUGAUAUCAAGUAAGACUACCCGCUGGAGUUAAGCAUAUCAG